rnacentral:rRNA from 1 species
UACGGAGGGUGCGAGCGUUGUCCGGAAUCACUGGGCGUAAAGGGCGCGUAGGCGGCCUGAUAAGUAGGGGGUGAAAUCCUGCGGCUUAACCGCAGGGCUGCCUUCUAAACUGUCAGGCUUGAGCACAGUAGAGGCAGGUGGAAUUCCCGGUGUAGCGGUGGAAUGCGUAGAGAUCGGGAAGAACAUCAGUGGCGAAGGCGGCCUGCUGGGCUGUUGCUGACGCUGAGGCGCGACGCGUGGGGAGCAAACAGG